UGAAACCGUUUGUAAAGACUAAGUAUAGGGAACUUUCGAAACUGUUUGUCUGGAUCUCUAUUCUAACUUAUUCUUUUACUGAAGGUGCACAUGUAAGUAAAAUAGAACCGAGGUAUGGGAGUUUGGCUGGAGAGACCAGGCUGACAAUCUAUGGCGGAGGAUUUUCAGCGGACCAGUUCAGUCAAAAUGACGACCCAAAUGUGGGUAACAGGGUGUACUUGGUCGGUGAAUCUGGCACGGAAUUCUCGUGCAUAGUACACAAAGACGGCUGUACAGAGACUCAGAUUAUGUGCUAUAC